CUCGACUUCUGGAACGGGAUCUAUGACAGCCUGUUCAGAUUGGAACUCCCGAUCUGCGUUCGCCUAGUCGCUUACGCUGAUGACGUGGCGGCGGUGAUAGUCGAGCGCUCUCCGGAUCUGGUGCAGUACAAACUAAAUCAAGCGAUGAGUCGGACGGUCGACGAUUGACCAUGGACUGCACCUCGCUACAGAGAAGACAGAAAGAACUAGUGCUUCUCAUCACAAAAUGUAUACCGACCAGACUACGGAUGACGGUUGAGAUAGACGAGAUCGAGACCAGGGGUGAAGCAAGUACGUGGAGGUGACCCUAGAUACGAAGAUGACCUUCUGACCUUACAUACAGAGGACAGCCCGGAUGGCGGCCGGAAGGAUAGCACCCAUAAGCUGCCUGAUGGCGAACACGAACGGACCGAGGCCGGGGAAACUGAGACUGUUGAUGUCGACGACGCACUCGAUUCCGUUCUACGGGGCGGAGAUCUGGGCAGAUUCCCUGAAAGCAAAGAAAUAUGUCACGCCAUGGCGCCAUGAUGACUGUAUAGAGACGGAGCGCGUUGAGAAUCGCCGGCUCCUACCGGACUCAGUCAGCUCAGGUCAAUCUGGUGGUUGCGGGCGUGAUUCCCAUAGAUUUUCUUGCUUUCGAAUGCAAGAGGAUCUACGGCAGAGACGAUCGUGGGAAGCAUAACUUCCGACAACAUUGUCGAGGUGAUAUGCUCCACGGGGAACAGCAGUGACAACUCGUUGCCACCUCCACAGAGACCAUCUUACGACGAAAGAACGCGGACGGCUGCUUAACGUGACGUGACGUACACGGAAAAAGUGCCCAGCUAGAAGUAAUAUUAACGUAGUUCCCGGCUGGGGGCGGUUGCGCAAGAGGUGGCGGUUUUAGUGAGUAGGCUAUUCAGGACUCCCACAUCCGCUCCAGCCUGUAUGACUGACGUAAAUCCCCGUCACUUGGAUUCCGCAACUCCUCGGAUAAAAAAAGUCCGAGGAUGCAACUUCCUGGUUGGCUGAACCAUUGUCUACUGUUUCCGGUUUCUGUUGAUGAAUCGAGAGUCAAGAAGAAAAGAAGGCCGCUAGAUUAAUAUAUAAGAAAAUGAUGGUGUACGAUCUUCUACAGCCACGCGAUACGCUGAUUAAACUGUCACCGCCGGCAAGGUUUAUGCCAUCGUCGAUCUUUGUCAAACGGUGCUUUCCAAUUGAUCGUAAGUCUGGAUCUCUCGUUGUGCAAACCGCAAAUAUAACUAGAAAAAUUCCAGUGAAGCGACUGGUCUCAAAGAAGUGGGUGUUCUAUAAUGUGAAUGUUGUAGAACACAUAAAAUGCGGAUACGUGCCCAUCUAAACAGUUCACGGAACAGAGCCAAAUAGAUGUCUGAACUGCCAGAACUACAUCUGCAAAUCCAUCGAUGAAGAUUAAAACGAGAGAAAGUGGUGUGAAAAAACGAAACUAUACAGAUUGCAAAUGAAAAUAUGAUAGCAAAUGAAAAUAUGACAGCAAAUGAAA
rnacentral:misc_RNA from 1 species